GUAGGGAAUAUUGGGCAAUGGUCGGAAGACUGACCCAGCCAUGCCGCGUGCAGGAAGACGGCCCUCUGGGUUGUAAACUGCUUUUAUCUGGGAAGAAAAAGGCCAUGCGUGGCAAAUUGCCGGUACCAGAUGAAUAAGCACCGGCUAACUCCGUGCCAGCAGCCGCGGUAAUACGGAGGGUGCGAGCGUUGUCCGGAUUUAUUGGUUUUAAAGGGUGCGUAGGCGGCUGAUUAAGUCAGCGGUGAAAGACUUCGGCUUAACCGGAGCAGUGCCGUUGAUACUGGUUGGCUUGAGUGUCGGAGGGGUACAUGGAAUUGAUGGUGUAGCGGUGAAAUGCAUAGAUACCAUCAGGAACACCGAUAGCGAAGGCAUUGUACUGGCCGACAACUGACGCUGAUGCACGAAAGUGUGGGGAUCGAACAGGAUUAGAUACCCGUGUAGUCC
rnacentral:rRNA from 1 species